AGCUCAUUGACAUAAAAACACAAGCUCACUCACUAGCUGGCACACACACACACACACACAUGCAAGCAAGCUCACUCACUAGCAGGCGCACACACACACACACACACACACACACACACACACACAGCUUAAUGUAGUGGUUCUGGUGUCUAUAGCCUAUCCCUGCAGGCUUUUCAAUGUAAACACUGACUUUUCAGAGAAAAGGCAGUGUUUACAUUGCUUCCUAGUGACACCUCUAGUGACAGACACUCAGACGGUCCCUAGAGGUGCUUCCUGUGUCAGUG